rnacentral:rRNA from 1 species
GAUGAACGCUGGCGGCGUGCCUAAUACAUGCAAGUCGAGCGAACAGACGAGGAGCUUGCUUCUCUGACGUUAGCGGCGGACGGGUGAGUAACACAUGGAUAACCUACCUAUAAGACUGGGAUAACUUCGGGAAACCGGCGCUAAUACCGGAUAAUAUAUUGAACCGCAUGGUUCAAUAGUGAAAGACGGUUUUGCUGUCACUUAUAGAUGGAUCCGCGCCGCAUUAGCUAGUUGGUAAGGUAACGGCUUACCAAGGCAACGAUGCGUAGCCGACCUGAGAGGGUGAUCGGCCACACUGGAACUGAGACACGGUCCAGACUCCUACGGGAGGCAGCAGUGGGGAAUCUUCCGCAAUGGGCGAAAGCCUGACGGAGCAACGCCGCGUGGGUGAUGAAGGUCUUCGGAUCGUAAAACUCUGUUAUUAGGAAAGAACAAAUGUGUAAGUAACUAUGCACGUCUUAACGGUACCUAAUCAGAAGGCCACGGCUAACUACGU